AAAAAGACAAACCCUAGUUUCCGUGUCCAACGUUUGACUGUUCGUCUUAUUUGAAAAAAUUAUGAAAAAAAUUAAAAAGACAAGUCACGCAUAAAAUAUUAAUCAUGUUUUAUCAUCUAACAACGAUGAAAAUACGAAUUAUAAAAAAAUUUCAUAUAAGACGGAAAGUUAAAGUUGGACACGGAAACCCAGGGUUUGUCUUUUU
rnacentral:pre_miRNA from 1 species